AACGUACGCUGGCGGCACGCCUAACACAUGCAAGUCGAACGAAGUAGCAAUACUUAGUGGCAGACGGGUGAGUAACAUGUAGGUAUCUGCCCUUUGGCCUGGAAUAACACGAGGAAACUUGUGCUAAUACCGGAUAAGUCUUUACGGAGAAAGCUUUAUGCACCAUUGGAUGAGCCUGCACUUGAUUAGUUUGUUGGUGGGGUAAUGGCCUACCAAGACUGUGAUCAAUAGCUGAUUUGAGAGGAUGAUCAGCCACAUUGGGACUGAGACACGGCCCAAACUCCUACGGGAGGCAGCAGUGGGGAAUCUUGCACAAUGGAGGAAACUCUGAUGCAGCGAUGCCGCGUGAGUGAAGAAGGCCUUUGGGUUGUAAAGCUCUUUCGUCGGGGAAGAAAAUGACUGUACCCGAAUAAGAAGGUCCGGCUAACUUCGUGCCAGCAGCCGCGGUAAUACGAAGGGACCUAGCGUAGUUCGGAAUUACUGGGCUUAAAGAGUUCGUAGGUGGUUGAAAAAGUUAGUGGUGAAAUCCCAGAGCUUAACUCUGGAACUGCCAUUAAAACUUUUCAGCUAGAGUAUGAUAGAGGAAAGCAGAAUUUCUAGUGUAGAGGUGAAAUUCGUAGAUAUUAGAAAGAAUACCAAUUGCGAAGGCAGCUUUCUGGAUCAUUACUGACACUG
rnacentral:rRNA from 1 species